rnacentral:lncRNA from 1 species
CUCUCCCUUCCUCCAUCCCUCCUCCCUCCUCUUUCUUCCCUUCCUCUAUCCCUCCCCUUUCCUCCCACGGGUGGUUGUUGUCCUUGAUCUUUUUUGGCCUUCCUGUGACAUCGGGUGGUGUAGGUGUCCUGGAGGGCAGGUAGUUUGCCCCCGGUAAUGUGUUGUGUAGACCGCACCACCCUCUGGAGAGCCCUGCGGUUGUGGGCGGUGCAGUUGCCGUACCAGGCGGUGAUACAGCCCGACAGGAUGCUCUCAAUUGUGCAUCUGUAGAAGUAUGUGAGGGUUUUAGGUGCCAAGUCAAAUUUAUUCAGCCUCCUAAGGUUGAAGAGGCGCUGUUACUUUACUGUGCCUGCCAUGGGGAAGUGUCUGAAAUGUAUUGGAUCUGGAGAUAAUAUUGAGGCACUGUGUUUGUAUUUUAGGCUGACAAGGAGAACUGGAUUAAAAUAGUAAUAAUAUAACAUUAUUAUUAGGUUGGCUAGGGGGGUUAGGGGUCAUUUAAGGUUGGUUAGGGGUUAGGGGUCAUUUAAGGGGUCUCUCACGUCACCCCGCUCCUCCGCUCUCUCCACUGGCUUCCAGUCGAAGCUCGCAUCCGCUACAAGACCAUGGUGCUUGCCUACGGAGCUGUGAGGCGAACGGCACCUCCGUACCUUCAGGCUCUGAUCAGGCCCUACACCCAAACAAGGGCACUCCGUUCAUCCACCUCUGGCCUGCUCGCCUCCCUACCUCUGAGGAAGCACAGUUCCCGCUCAGCCCAGUCAAAACUGUUCGCUGCUCUGGCACCCCAAUGGUGGAACAAGCUCCCUCACGACACCAGGACAGCGGAGUCAAUCACCACCUUCCGGAGUCACCUGAAACCCCACCUCUUCAAGGAAUACCUGGGAUAGGAUAAAGUAAUCCUUCUAACCCCCCCCUUAAAAGAUUUAGAUGCACUAUUGUAAAGUGGUUGUUCCACUGGAUAUUAUAAGGUGAAUGCACCAAUUUCUAAGUCGCUCUGGAUAAGAGCGUCUGCUAAAUGACUUAAAUGUAAAUGUUAAGGCUGGUUAGGGGGUUAGGGGUCAUUUAAGGCUGGUUAGGGGGUUAGGGGUCAUUUAAGGUUGGUUAGGGGUCAUUUAAGGUUGGUUAGGGGUCAUUUAAGGUUGGUUAGGGGGUUAGGGGUAAUUUAAGGUUGGUUGGGGGUAAUUUAAGGUUGGUUAGGGGGUUAGGGGUCAUUUAAGGUUGGUUAGGGGUCAUUUAAGGUUGGUUAGGGGUCAUUUAAGGUUGGUUAGGGGGUUAGGGGUCAUUUAAGGUUGGUUGGGGGUAAUUUAAGGUUGGUUAGGGGGUUAGGGGUCAUUUAAGGCUGGUUAGGGGGUUAGGGGUAAUUUAAGGUUGGUUGGGGGUAAUUUAAGGUUGGUUAGGGGUUAGGGGUAAUUUAAGGCUGGUUAGGGGGUUAGGGGUCAUUUAAGGUUGGUUAGGGGUCAUUUAAGGCUGGUUAGGGGUCAUUUAAGGCUGGUUAGGGGGUUAGGGGUCAUUUAAGGCUGGUUAGGGGUCAUUUAAGGCUGGUUAGGGGGUUAGGGAUCAUUUAAGGUUGGUUAGGGGUCAUUUAAGGCUGGUUAGGGGUCAUUUAAGGCUGGUUAGGGGGUUAGUGUAACUUACUUAGGGUUCGGUUACUCAGCUAGAAUUAGGGCUGUAUUCAAUCUGGAUGGCUGAAACAUUACAGGCCGUGUGAUAGAAAUGUAAAGGUCAUUUCCCAUUGGAGAGCUGACAUAUGCAGCGCUGACCGUGAAUCUCUGCUAAUACAGGAACGUUGCCUUUACAUUUCUAUCAGCUGGUUGAACAUCAGCCAUACGGAUUGAAUAGAGCCCUUAGAGUCGGGAGGACCUUUUGGGUGGGUUAUUACUAGAGCUCAGAGUUUAUCCCGGUUUAGGGUCAGGGCUCUAAACGUUCUACAGAACUGUUACAGACUUCUAAACUACCGGUACUGUCGACUCAGCAGAGAAAUGAAGAGCUCUUCUGUCACAAAGUAGAUGUUAAUAUUGGAGAUGAUAUUUGAUCAUGUUUUAUAACCUGUAGCAGUAGAGAUGGGGAUUUCCUGUUAAAGGUCAACUUUGGACACGAAAAAUAGUCCAAAUCCGCAUCUUUCCCAAUUUUUCAAACGUAAAUGGGGUGUGCCUUUGGUGUUACAUCAGGGUCAUUCUAGUCACAUGACCAACGCGCAGUUGAAGUAGGAAGUUUACAUACACCUCAGCCAAACACAUUUACACUCAGUUUUUCACAAUUCCUGACAUUUUAAUCCUAAUAAAAAUUCCCUGUCUUAGGUCAGUUAGGAUCACCACUUUAUUUUAAGAAUGUGAAAUGUCAGAAUAAUAGUAGAGAGAAUGAUUUAUUUCAGCUUUUAUUUCUUUCAUUACAUUCCCCGUGGGUCAGAAGUUUACAUACACUCAAUUAGUAUUUGGUAGCAUUGCCUUUAAAUUGUUUACCUUGGGUCAAACGUUUCGGGUAGCCUUCCACAAGCUUCCCACAAUAAGUUGGGUGAAUUUUGGCCCAUUCCUCCUGACAGAGCUGGUGUAACUGAGUCAGGUUUGUAGGCCUCCUUGCACGCACACACUUUUUCAGUUAUGCCCACAGAUUUUCUAUAGGAUUGAGGUCAGGGCUUUGUGAUGGACACUCCAAUACCUUGACUUUGUUGUCAUUAAGGCAUUUUGCAACAACUUUGGAAGUAUGCUUGGGGUCAUUGUCCAUUUGGAAGACCCAUUUGAGACCAAGCUUUAACUUCCUGACUGAUGUCUUGAGAUGUUGCUUCAAUAUAUCCACAUAAUUUUCCAGCCUCGUGAUGCCAUCUAUUUUGUGAAGUGCACCAGUCCCUCCUGCAGCAAAGCACCCCCCACAACAUGAUGCUGCCACCCCCGUGCUUCACGGUUGGGAUGGUGUUCUUCGGCUUGCAAGCCUCCCCCUUUUUCCACCAAACAUAACGAUGGUCAUUAUGGCCAAACAGUUCUAUUUUUGUUUCAUCAGACCAGAGGACAUUUCUCCAAAAAGUACGAUCUUUGUCCCCAUGUGCAGUUGCAAACCGUUGUCUGGCUUUUUUAAUGGCGGUUUUGGAGCAGUGGCUUCUUCCUUGCUGAGCGGCCUUUCAGGUUAUGUCGAAAUAGUACUCGUUUUACUGUGGAUAUAGAUACUUUUGUACCUGUUUCCUCCAGCAUCUUCACAAGGUCCUUUGCUGUUGUUCUGGGAUUGAUUUGCACUUUUCACACCAAAGUACGUACAUCUCUAGGAGACAGAACGCGUCUCCUUCCUGAGCGGUAUGACGGCUGCGUGGUCCCAUGGUGUUUAUACUUGCGUACUAUUGUUUGUACAGAUGAACGUGGUACCUUCAGGCGUUUGGAAAUUGCUCCCAAGGAUGAACCAGACUUGUGGAGGUCUAGAAUUUUUUUUCUGAGGUCUUGGCUGAUUUCUUUUGAUUUUCCCAUGAUGUCAAGCAAAGAGACACUGAGUUUGAAGGUAGGCCUUGAAAUACAUCCACAGGUACACCUCCAAUUGACUCAAAUGAUGUCAAUUAGCCUAUCAGAAGCUUCUAAAGCCAUGACAUCAUUUUCUGGAAUUUUCCAAGCUGUUUAAAGGCACAGUCAACUUAGUGUAUGUAAACUUCUGACCCACUGGAAUUGUGAUACAGGGAAUUAUAAGUGAAAUAAUCUCUCUGUAAACAAUUGUUGGAAAAAUUACUUGUGUCAUGCACAAAGUAGAUGUCCUAACCGACUUUCCAAAACUAUAGUUUGUUAACAAGAAAUUUGUGGAGUGGUUGAAAAACAAGUUUUAAUGACUCCAACCUAAGUGUAUGUAAACUUCGACUUCAACUGUAGCUCGUUCAUUAGCUAUGAAAGCCACUGUAGCUAGUUUGUUAGCUAAGAUAGCCACUGUAGCUAAUUCGUUAGCUAAGCUAGCCACUGUAGCUAAUUCGUUAGCUAAGCUAGCCACUGUAGCUAGUUCGUUAGCUAAGCCAUCCACUGUACUUAGUUUGUUAGCUAAGCCAGCCACUGUAGCUAGUUUGUUAGCUAAGCUAGCCACUGUAUCUAGUUCGUUAGCUAAGCUAGCCACUGUAGCUAGUUUGUUAGCUAAGCUAGCCACUAGAGCUAGUUCAUUAGCUAAGCCAUCCACUGUAGCUAGUUUGUUUGCUAAGCCAGCCACUAUAGCUAGUUUGUUAGCAAAGCUAGCCACUGUAGCUAGCCAGUAACUCCUCCAGUAUGUGUUGACAUCAUUUCACAGGAUUUGUUUUUGGAGAUCGGAAAGAAAUGGCACUUCUGUAGCCAAAUAUCUUAUUUAACCAUUUUAAGCAAUAAAUGACCAUGUAUGGUGGUGCAUUGAUCAGUUAUACUGUUUAAAAUACAUAAUUUUUGCGCUUUUGCCCAGAAUCGACCUUCAAAUGUAUUGGCAGAGAUGUCCAGCAGGGUAGACUGGAGGGGAUGGGAGGUGAGUUGGUAAUGAAAUACUAAACUUGAUGACAAAUAAAUACUUUUAAAGAAACGCACAAAUGGAAAAACAUCUCAAAUAACAGUUUAAUAAAGUUCCUUCAACAUGUCUGUUGAUAACAGCCCUGUUUCAUCCUAUGACAUUACAUACAUCCCCGUUUCAUCCUAUGAUGUUAUAUACAUCCUUUAAGUGAAAUAAAAGGCAAUGUUGAAUAACAUAAAGCAUUUGUGAUUGAUAUACAUUCUUGUCUGUAUGUAUCAGUGCAUUUGGAAAGUAUUCAGACCCCUUCACUUUUUCCA